rnacentral:rRNA from 1 species
AUUGAACGCUGGCGGCAGGCCUAACACAUGCAAGUCGAGCGGAUGAGAGGAGCUUGCUCCUCGAUUCAGCGGCGGACGGGUGAGUAAUGCCUAGGAAUCUGCCCAGUAGUGGGGGACAACGUUUCGAAAGGAACGCUAAUACCGCAUACGUCCUACGGGAGAAAGUGGGGGAUCUUCGGACCUCACGCUAUUGGAUGAGCCUAGGUCGGAUUAGCUAGUUGGUAGGGUAAAGGCCUACCAAGGCGACGAUCCGUAACUGGUCUGAGAGGAUGAUCAGUCACCCUGGAACUGAGACACGGUCCAGACUCCUACGGGAGGCAGCAGUGGGGAAUAUUGGACAAUGGGCGCAAGCCUGAUCCAGCCAUGCCGCGUGUGUGAAGAAGGCCCUCGGGUCGUAAAGCACUUUAAGUUGGGAGGAAGGGCUUACAGCGAAUACCUGUGAGUUUUGACGUUACCGACAGAACAAGCACCGGCUAACUUCGUGCCAGCCGCCGCGGUAA